UGCGUAGGCGGGCUAAUAAGUCAGUGGUGAAAUCUUCCGGCUCAACCGGGAACCUGCCAUUGAUACUGUUAGUCUUGAGUUCGGUUGAGGUAGGCGGAAUGUGUAAUGUAGCGGUGAAAUGCUUAGAUAUUACACAGAACACCAAUUGCGUAGGCAGCUUACUAGACCGACACUGACGCUGAGGCACGAAAGCGUGGGGAGCGAACAGGAUUAGAUACCCUGGUAGUCCC
rnacentral:rRNA from 1 species